AUGGGGGAAACCCUGAUCCAGCCAUGCCGCGUGUGUGAAGAAGGCCUUAGGGUUGUAAAGCACUUUCAGUGGGGAAGAAGGCAUGAUGAUUAAUACUCGUCAUGAAGGACAUCACCCACAGAAGAAGCACCGGCUAACUCCGUGCCAGCAGCCGCGGUAAUACGGAGGGUGCAAGCGUUAAUCGGAAUUACUGGGCGUAAAGGGCGCGUAGGCGGCUUGCCAAGCCGGAUGUGAAAGCCCCGGGCUCAACCCGGGAACGGCAUUCGGAACUGGCAGGCUAGAGUGCAGGAGAGGAAGGUGGAAUUCCCGGUGUAGCGGUGAAAUGCGUAGAGAUCGGGAGGAAUACCAGUGGCGAAGGCGGCCUUCUGGACUGACACUGACGCUGAGGCGCGAAAGCGUGGGUAGCAAACAGGAUUAGAUACCCUGGUAGUCCACGCCGUAAACGAUGUCGACCAGCCGUUGGACCCCUUGAGGGUUUGGUGGCGCAGUUAACGCAA
rnacentral:rRNA from 1 species